CGCCGUGGUGGUGGGCGUGGGGCUCGCCUUCUUCGGCAUGGCGGUGGUCGCCUACGACCCCGGCCGCGGCAUCAUGGCCCGCCGCGGCGGCC
rnacentral:tRNA from 1 species